CCUCUCUCCCUGCCCUUAAAUCAGUAAUUGGUUUCAGCGCAGAGACUGUCAGGAAAUUAACACAUCACACGGUGACAGCUGUUCAUUUUUUCAGCGGCAUUCUUCGUCAUGUGAAUGGCCACUGAUUUGCCGAAGAACAUCACAAAUGAGUGGGUGCUAAUCAAGGGGCCACUCUCGAGGGCAGAGUACGGCCCCGUGCCUCCAUUCUUUCUCUGCAGCAAGUGGGUGCAACUUCGAUGAGACAUGGGCUGACUUUGUAGUAUGAUCCACUGCUGCUCAAAAUGUAUCAACUCCAACAUAAUACAUCCGCCAGGUUCCCUGCACCCAAACAAGAAGAGAAUGGUAGGAGCUGGCAAUAUGACUUGCAUAGAAAUCACACUUGUUUUUGCUUUGGUUCCUCCCGUGUUUAUUCUCCAUUGGUUAUCCUGUGUCUCCCUUGAGUGUUUGGUGAUCCAUGUCUCUUGUUGUGUUUC